CUCAUACGACCGUAUGGGUCGUUUGUCACUAUCCAUAAAUACGACCCACACGAGCGUUCUCUAAAUUAGCGCCCCUAUUGGCAACAGGAGGUAUGAUAAAUGAACUUUCGCCUAAAUGCAUUGUGGGUUUAUUUUAACAUGUUUGCUAUUUGCGUUUUGAAUUGUUUGAUUUAAACUCUCCCAGAUCUUCGUGGAUUUUGAUGAUAUGGAUUUUAGAUGACUUCGAGACAUGUACAGUUUUGCAGUUUCUUCAUAUCACAUACAUCUCCAGCUCCUACAACAACAUUCAGUGUCCAGCAGCUCUUUAUGAUGCUCUCUCUCUCUCUCUCUCUCUCUCUCUCUCUCUCUCUCUCUCUUCUCUCUCUCUCUCUCUCUCUCUCUCUCUCUCUCUCUCUCUCUCUCUCUCUCUCUCUCUCUCUCUCUCUCUCUCUCUCUCUCUCUCUCUCUCUCUCUCUUUCUCUCUCUCUCUCUCUCUCUCUCUCUCAUUUUCCUUUCCUAUUUUUCUGAACUGUAAUUCAUAAAUAAGUCACACAUAUUUUUCUUUCUUUCUCUUGUUCAUCAUGGCAUAUUUUCACAGCUCAGAAUCAGAUUUUGAUCAGUUCUUGUAUUAACAGGGAACUUGUACUCGAAGCUCAACUUGAAGAAGUUUCCAGUGAAGAUGAAGUCCUUCAAAGGUUCGACACAGCUGAAAAGGAAGACCAUGGGCCUGUCAAACCUUGUUUGUGGAGAGGGAUGAAUUUGACCAUCUUGUGUGUUUACGGAGAAGACCAAAAGCUGCUAAGGCAGAUAUUUCCAGAGGUACAAACAGAGCGGAUGGUUGCAUGAUGGCCUCUUUCAGGUUUGUCAACUGAAUGUCUACUAGUGUGGCUCAGCAAGUUCCUGUCAUGAUCAGCCCUCUCCAAGAAAGCUGAAGAGCAAAAACACAAAGAACAUCAGUCCUGUUGGGGAUGAGGAAUGAACAUGGCUCUAUUGUGCCCAAACAGAAAAGAGUGAAAAGUCCUAGAAUGAACAAAUCAUCAGGGCAUCAUUUCUGGAAUUUGGGCAGAAAAUGACUGAAUAUGAAAGACUGCAGUAGAAGGAAAGCUGGUACUGAGAACAUUUGUCUUCACUCCAGACUAAAGAGAAGCGGGUCUGAGGCCAGAGAUGGAGGAGUCAAUGGUCACCAAAUGCAGCGCUGCAGCCUGAAACUGUGAAGACUGAAUUCCCAAACAGCUGUGUGACUGCACAGAUGUUACGGCCAUAAAAGAAACUUCACAACUGAGAGCCCAUACCUCCAACAACCUUCAACAGGAAUCAAUGGACAUCUACGCAAGGUUUUUCUUUUGUUGAGGACCGUCAGAGACUCCAGCCACACGAGCCAUGGAUUGCUCUCAACAUCACCAUCAGACAGACAUUAUCACAGAACCAGCACCAGCAGACUGCAAAACAAGUUCCUUCAACAGGCAAUCAGACUGAACUGAACUCGUACCAGUAACACCACACACACACACACACACGCACACACACACCAGCAGCCUCAUACUGUGUGCACUGCACUCUAUCAGCUACACUGACUGGACUCUGACUCACUAUUAUUCUGCAACCUGAUAUUCUGUUUGCACUAAUUCAUACUGUACUGAAAGUGAAAGUGACGUGACAUACAGUCAAGUAUGGUGACCCAUACUCAGAAUUUGUGCUCUGCAUUUAACCCAUCCGAAGUGCACACACACAGAGCAGUGAACACACACACACUGUGAACACACACCUGGAGCAGUGGGCAGAGGUAUAUCUACAGUAUACAGUGAUUGUUGUUAAUUGUUUUCAUUUUGUUCUCUCUGUAUAGUAUAGUAUUGCACUAUAUUUUCUACCUGUAUUGAGCUCUUAUGUAUACGGUUUAUAUUUUUGAUACUGUAUAUGUGUUGCAAAUAUAUUCAGUACUUGUCAUGCUGCAGUUUGCAGAAAAGCAUUUUACCACCUGUAUACUUGCAUUCAUGGUAUUGUGAUAAUAAAAUGAUUUGAUUUGAA